rnacentral:rRNA from 1 species
AUUGAACGCUGGCGGCAUGCUUCACACAUGCAAGUCGAACGAGUGGCGGACGGGUGAGUAAUACAUGGGAAUGUGCCUGCUGGAGGGGGAUAACUACGGGAAACAGUAGCUAAUACCGCAUACUAUAGGAUGAGCCCAGAUGGGAUUAGCUAGUUGGUGGGGUAAAGGCUGACCAAGGCGACGAUCCGUAGCUGGUCUGCGAGGAUGACCAGCCACACUGGGACGGAGACACGGCCCAGACUCCUACGGGAGGCAGCAGUGGGGAAUAUUGCACAAUGGGGGCAACCCUGAUGCAGCCAUGCCGCGUGUGUGAUGAAGGCCUUCGGGUUGUAAAGUACUGUCAGCUGAGAGGCGUUACCUACAGAAGAAGCACCGGCUAACUACGUGCCAGCAGCCGCGGUAAUUC